rnacentral:rRNA from 1 species
UACGUAGGGUGCAAGCGUUAAUCGGAAUUACUGGGCGUAAAGCGUGCGCAGGCGGCUAUGCAAGACAGAUGUGAAAUCCCCGGGCUCAACCUGGGAACUGCAUUUGUGACUGCAUGGCUAGAGUACGGCAGAGGGGGAUGGAAUUCCGCGUGUAGCAGUGAAAUGCGUAGAUAUGCGGAGGAACACCGAUGGCGAAGGCAAUCCCCUGGGCCUGUACUGACGCUGAGGAGCGAAAGCGUGGGGAGCAAACAGG